rnacentral:rRNA from 1 species
AUUGAACGCUGGCGGAAUGCUUUACACAUGCAAGUCGAACGGCAGCACGGACUUCGGUCUGGUGGCGAGUGGCGAACGGGUGAGUAAUGUAUCGGAACGUGCCCAGUCGUGGGGGAUAACGUAGUGAAAAUCACGCUAAUACCGCAUACGAUCUAUGGAUGAAAGCGGGGGAUCGCAAGACCUCGCGCGAUUGGAGCGUCCGAUAUCAGAUUAGGUAGUUGGUGGGGUAAAGGCCCACCAAGCCAACGACCGGUAGCUGGUGUGAGAGGACGACCGACCGAGCUGGAAAUGCGACACGGUCCAGACUCCUACGGGAGGCAGCAGUGGGGAAUUUUGGACAAUGGGCGGAAGACUGAUCCAGCCAUUCCGCGUGCAGGAUGAAGGCCCUCGGGUUGUAAACUGCUUUUGUACAGAACGAAAAGGUUUCUACUAAUACUAGGAGCUCAUGACGGUACUGUAAGAAUAAGCACCGGCUAACUACGUGCCAGCAGCCGCCGUAA